UACGUAGGGCGCAAGCGUUAUCCGGAAUUAUUGGGCGUAAAGAGCUCGUAGGCGGUUUGUCGCGUCUGCCGUGAAAGUCCGGGGCUCAACUCCGGAUCUGCGGUGGGUACGGGCAGACUAGAGUGAUGUAGGGGAGACUGGAAUUCCUGGUGUAGCGGUGAAAUGCGCAGAUAUCGAGAGGAACACCAGUGGCGAAGGCGAGUCUCUGGACGACUCCUGACACUGAGGCACGAAAGCUAGGGGAGCAAACAGG
rnacentral:rRNA from 1 species